UACGGAAGGCAGCAGUGGGGAAUAUUGCACAAUGGGCGCAAGCCUGAUGCAGCCAUGCCGCGUGUAUGAAGAAGGCCUUCGGGUUGUAAAGUACUUUCAGUCGUGAGGAAGGUGUUAAGGUUAAUAACCUUAGCAAUUGACGUUAGCGACAGAAGAAGCACCGGCUAACUCCGUGCCAGCAGCCGCGGUAAUACGGAGGGUGCGAGCGUUAAUCGGAAUUACUGGGCGUUAAAGGGCACGCAGGCGGUUAAUUAAGUUGGAUGUGAAAUCCCCGGGCUUAACCUGGGAAUGGCAUUCAAGACUGGUUAGCUAGAGUCUUGUAGAGGGGGUAGAAUUCCAUGUGUAGCGGUGAAAUGCGUAGAGAUGUGGAGGAAUCCGGUGGCGAAGGCGGCCCCUGGCAAAGGACUGACGCUCAUGUGCGAAAGCGUGGGGAGCAAACAGGGAUUAGAUACC
rnacentral:rRNA from 1 species